CCUACGGGGGGCAGCAGUGAGGAAUCUUGGUCAAUGGACGAGAGUCUGAACCAGCCAAGUAGCGUGAAGGAUGACUGCCCUAUGGGUUGUAAACUUCUUUUAUAUGGGAAUAAAAUGUUCCACGUGUGGGAUUUUGUAUGUACCAUAUGAAUAAGGAUCGGCUAACUCCGUGCCAGCAGCCGCGGUAAUACGGAGGAUCCGAGCGUUAUCCGGAUUUAUUGGGUUUAAAGGGAGCGUAGGUGGAUUGUUAAGUCAGUUGUGAAAGUUUGCGGCUCAACCGUAAAAUUGCAGUUGAAACUGGCAGUCUUGAGUACAGUAGAGGUGGGCGGAAUUCGUGGUGUAGCGGUGAAAUGCUGAGAUAUCACGAAGAACUCCGAUUGCGAAGGCAGUUCACUGGACUGCAACUGACACUGAGGCUCGAAAGUGUGGGUAUCAAACAGGAUUAGAUACCCCAGUAGUC
rnacentral:rRNA from 1 species